CUCCUUCCUCUCGCCUUCCCUAUAAAUAGUCAUUGCUUCGUCCUCCAUACACUUGGCUCAAAAGCAGAAACCAACCUGCAGUUUCGGCGGCCGCAAAAAUCUUCGGCUUUGAGAUUACGGUGAUACUAUACUUAUUCAUUGGGAAGUAGAAAGUAAAGGAUUGUGCUUAUGGAAGGUCAAGUGCUGAUCUGAAACAGACACAUCAGCACAACACAAUAUCAUAAGCUAAAGAAACCAUCUGCCACUUAUAAUCCCUCCUUCUCAAGAACCCUGCGAGAAAUAGCUAUGGAAUCAAAAUACAAAAGGGAUCGGGCACUUAUCUUCUAAAUUCUGCAUCCUGAAGUGCUCCAGAACGUAGCUCUAUUAAGACCAGAAAGAAACCUUUUGAUGUUUCAAGGUAUGACUGUUCGUAGGAUUAAAGCGUUUUGUUCAGAGAAUUUGAGAAUGUUGUUUAAAUUGUAUGAAUUAUAAAAAAAUAAAGUUGCAGAAAUUUGAUACAAUUUUAAUGUCAAACUAUAUGUCCUCCAGAAUUAGGAGUGUCAAAAAUAAAUUUGAGCAGUAAGUUUGAUU